UACGAAGGGGGCUAGCGUUGCUCGGAUUCACUGGGCGUAAAGCGCACGUAGGCGGGUUCUUAAGUCAGGGGUGAAAUCCUGGAGCUCAACUCCAGAACUGCCUUUGAUACUGGGAAUCUCGAGUCCGGGAGAGGUGAGUGGAACUGCGAGUGUAGAGGUGAAAUUCGUAGAUAUUCGCAAGAACACCAGUGGCGAAGGCGGCUCACUGGCCCGGUACUGACGCUGAGGUGCGAAAGCGUGGGGAGCAAACAGG
rnacentral:rRNA from 1 species